rnacentral:rRNA from 1 species
AAAUUGAAGAGUUUGAUCAUGGCUCAGAUUGAACGCUGGCGGCAGGCCUAACACAUGCAAGUCGAACGGUAACAGGAAGAAGCUUGCUUCUUUGCUGACGAGUGGCGGACGGGUGAGUAAUGUCUGGGAAACUGCCUGAUGGAGGGGGAUAACUACUG